rnacentral:rRNA from 1 species
GAUGAACGCUGGCGGCGUGCCUAAUACAUGCAAGUAGAACGCUGAAGGAGGAGCUUGCUUCUCUGGAUGAUUUGCGAACGGGUGAGUAACGCGUAGGUAACCUGCCUGGUAGCGGGGGAUAACUAUUGGAAACGAUAGCUAAUACCGCAUAAGAGUAGAUGUUGCAUGACAUUUACUUAAAAGGUGCAAUUUCAUCACUACCAGAUGGACCUGCGUUGUAUUAGCUAGUUGGUGAGGUAACGGCUCACCAAGGCAACGAUACAUAGCCGACCUGAGAGGGUGAUCGGCCACACUGGGACUGAGACACGGCCCAGACUCCUACGGGAGGGAGCAGUAGGGAAUCUUCGGCAAUGGACGGAAGUCUGACCGAGGAACGCCGCGGGAGUGAAGAAGGUUUUCGGAUCGUAAAGCUCUGUUGUAAGAGAAGAAAGAGUGUGAGAGUGGAAAGUUCACACUGUGACGGUAUCUUACCAGAAAGGGACGGCUAACUACGUG